UUACGGGAGGCAGCAGUGAGGAAUUUUCCGCAAUGGGCGAAAGCCUGACGGAGCAAUGCCGCGUGAAGGAUGAAGGCCUAUGGGUUGUAAACUUCUUUUCUCAGAGAAGAAAUUUUGACGGUAUCUGAGGAAUAAGCAUCGGCUAACUCUGUGCCAGCAGCCGCGGUAAGACAGAGGAUGCAAGCGUUAUCCGGAAUGAUUGGGCGUAAAGCGUCUGUAGGUGGCUUAAAAAGUCUCCUGUCAAAGAUCAGGGCUUAACCCUGGGCCGGCAGGAGAAACUCUUAGGCUAGAGUUUGGUAGGGGCAGAGGGAAUUCCCGGUGGAGCGGUGAAAUGCGUAGAGAUCGGGAGGAACACCAAAGGCGAAAGCACUCUGCUGGGCCAUAACUGACACUGAGAGACGAAAGCGAGGGGAGCAAAAGGGAUUAGAUACCCUGGU
rnacentral:rRNA from 1 species